UACGGAGGGAGCUAGCGUUGUUCGGAAUUACUGGGCGUAAAGCGCACGUAGGCGGCGAUUCAAGUCAGAGGUGAAAGCCCGGGGCUCAACCCCGGAACUGCCUUUGAAACUAGAUUGCUAGAAUCCUGGAGAGGUGAGUGGAAUUCCGAGUGUAGAGGUGAAAUGCGUAGAUAUUAGGAAGAACACCAGUGGCUAAGGCGCUCUACUGGGCCAUUACUGACGCUGAUGGACGAAAGCUAUGGGAGCGAAAGGG
rnacentral:rRNA from 1 species